rnacentral:rRNA from 1 species
GACGAACGCUGGCGGCGUGCCUAAUACAUGCAAGUAGAACGCUGAAGGAGGAGCUUGCUUCUCUGGAUGAGUUGCGAACGGGUGAGUAACGCGUAGGUAACCUGCCUGGUAGCGGGGGAUAACUAUUGGAAACGAUAGCUAAUACCGCAUAAGAGUAGAUGUUGCAUGACAUUUGCUUAAAAGGUGCAAUUGCAUCACUACCAGAUGGACCUGCGUUGUAUUAGCUAGUUGGUGGGGUAACGGCUCACCAAGGCGACGAUACAUAGCCGACCUGAGAGGGGGAUCGGCCACACUGGGACUGAGACACGGCCCAGACUCCUACGGGAGGCAGCAGUAGGGAAUCUUCGGCAAUGGACGCAAGUCUGACCGAGCAACGCCGCGUGAGUGAAGAAGGUUUUCGGAUCGUAAAGCUCUGUUGUAAGAGAAGAACGAGUGUGAGAGUGGAAAGUUCACACUGUGACGGUAUCUUACCAGAAAGGGACGGCUAACUACGUG